rnacentral:rRNA from 1 species
GGAUUUCUUCGGAAUGAAGUUUUUGCGACUGAGUGGCGGACGGGUGAGUAACGCGUGGGUAACCUGCCUCAUACAGGGGGAUAACAGUUAGAAAUGACUGCUAAUACCGCAUAAGCGCACAGUGCUGCAUGGCACAGUGUGAAAAACUCCGGUGGUAUGAGAUGGACCCGCGUCUGAUUAGCUAGUUGGUGGGGUAACGGCCUACCAAGGCGACGAUCAGUAGCCGGCCUGAGAGGGUGAACGGCCACAUUGGGACUGAGACACGGCCCAAACUCCUACGGGAGGCAGCAGUGGGGAAUAUUGCACAAUGGGGGAAACCCUGAUGCAGCGACGCCGCGUGAGCGAAGAAGUAUUUCGGUAUGUAAAGCUCUAUCAGCAGGGAAGAAAAUGACGGUACCUGACUAAGAAGCACCGGCUAAAUACGUGCCAGCAGCCGCGGUAAUACGUAUGGUGCAAGCGUUAUCCGGAUUUACUGGGUGUAAAGGGAGCGUAGACGGUUGUGUAAGUCUGAUGUGAAAGCCCGGGGCUCAACCCCGGGACUGCAUUGGAAACUAUGUAACUAGAGUGUCGGAGAGGUAAGCGGAAUUCCUAGUGUAGCGGUGAAAUGCGUAGAUAUUAGGAGGAACAC